GGUAGAAUGGCUGAGCUUAAGCGAUAAAUUGUAAAUUUAUUUACGAAUUGUAUUCUUCUACCA
rnacentral:tRNA from 1 species